rnacentral:rRNA from 1 species
GACGAACGCUGGCGGCGUGCUUAACACAUGCAAGUCGAACGAUGAAGAAGAGAAACGCGAACUUCGGUUCAAAUUUCACUUCAGAUUAGUGGCAGACGGGUGAGUAACGCGUGAGCAACCUACCUCUUACAAAGGGAUAGCCUCGGGAAACCGUGAUUAAUACCAUAUGACACAUUCAUAAGGCAUCUUAAGAAUGUUAAAGCUACGGCGGUAAGAGAUGGGCUCGCGUCCCAUUAGCUAGUUGGUGAGGUAACGGCCCACCAAGGCGACGAUGGGUAACCGGCCUGAGAGGGUGAACGGUCACAUUGGAACUGAGACACGGUCCAAACUCCUACGGGAGGCAGCAGUGGGGAAUAUUGCACAAUGGAGGGAACUCUGAUGCAGCGACGCCGCGUGAGCGAUGAAGGAAUUCGUGUCGUAAAGCUCUGUUCUAUGGGAAGAAAAGGACUGUACCAUAGGAGAAAGCCCCGGCUAAAUACGUG